rnacentral:rRNA from 1 species
CGUUGAUUACGUCCCUGCCCUUUGUACACACCGCCCGUCGCUACUACCGAUUGAAUGGCUCAGUGAGGCGUCCGGACUGGCCAAGAGAGGUGGGCAACUACCACUCAGGGCCGGAAAGCUCGCCAAACUCGGUCAUUUAGAGGAAGUAAAAGUCGUAACAAGG